UUCUAGUUAAGCCUCCCAGCGCCUCAGGAACCACAACUCAGGCUUCCCUCACUCACCAGCAGUUAUCAAUACUCGGCAUCUCUUUUCCACUGUCUCGCACUCUGAAACACUUUACUCUCUCAUCAUGACUAUUUGCAGAAGUCAGAGAGAUAAUUAAACUAGUUGUCACGAGUGUUUUUCCUGUUAAAAAUGUAGAAUUCUUGUUAAUAUGUCACUAGAACCCUAAAAAAAUACCCUUAAAAAUCCGUGUAACUUCAAAUACAGCCGGAGCAGAAGUGUUUCAGAAUGGUUCAAUAUGCGAUGAGCUGUGGUUCCCUUGGGCUUACAUAACUUGAGCCUCGCGGACAGCUGAGGGCACAGGGAGAGGAGUGGGUGUUCGUCUCUCGGUCUGUCAGUGUUCGCCGCGUCUGUGUGUUCACGUGCUCCCAGGAUGCAGUGUUCAGGAUGUGGAGGUACAAAGGGCAGCGUAAGGUGGUGCUAAGUGGAGCCCCCGUGAUCAAAGAGAGCAGGUGCUAAAUUAUUCACCUGCCUCAUAAUAGCGGCUUUUACGUGCGAGGGUAGCACCUGACUCUCUCCUCGCCAGAUCAAGCGGAACAUCAUCCUCUUCACCUGUAGCAGUCUUGACCACUGGGAGGCGGCAAGGCUGGGGCGCUGUUCCUGGAAUGAGGCAGGGCAUUAUUAUUAGGUUUCCUUAAAGGACUUACUCCAGAUGGCGUCGGCAAAGGCAGCUACCGCUGCUGUGAUUGCUGCUGCUGCGAUGAACUUCAGCCUGAAAUGGAUCUGAAACACAAGUGUUUCGUCAGGUGAUGGUAUCUAGUGUGUAAGACUUAUGCACUGGCAAUGUUGCUGGUAGCAAGCUGCGAGAGUAUAAGACAAGAGACUUUUAUUUAUUUUUUUAUUUAUUUCCCCCCCCCCGCAGCUGGAUGUUAUAGUUUUUCUCCGGAGACUGUUUGAGGUAUCGAUAAACCAAGUUGGUCACUGAAUUGUUUGAAGUAUUAUGUAACCUUAAAACCUCACUGAAUUGUUUGAAGUAUUAAAUAACCUUAAAACCUA